rnacentral:snRNA from 1 species
AUUAAUUUUGGGAUUUUUCUGUUU